UACGAAGGGGGCUAGCGUUGCUCGGAAUCACUGGGCGUAAAGCGCACGUAGGCGGCUUUUUAAGUCAGGGGUGAAAUCCUGGAGCUCAACUCCAGAACUGCCUUUGAUACUGAGAGCUCGAGUCCGGGAGAGGUGAGUGGAACUGCGAGUGUAGAGGUGAAAUUCGUAGAUAUUCGCAAGAACACCAGUGGCGAAGGCGGCUCACUGGCCCGGUACUGACGCUGAGGUGCGAAAGCGUGGGGAGCAAACAGG
rnacentral:rRNA from 1 species